rnacentral:tRNA from 1 species
GGCUGUGGCUCAGUGGCAGAGCGCUCGCCUAGCAUGUGUGAGGCCCCGGGUUUGAUCCUCAGUACCA